CCUAAAGUAGGUGGUAUGCUCCACCUAAGGCUAAAUAUUACUGUGAGACCGAUAGCAAACAAGUACCGUGAGGGAAAGUUGCAAAGAACUUUGAAGAGAGAGUUCAAUAGGACGUGAAACCGCUUGCAGGGAAACAGAUGGACCCACGAAGUCCUGUUGGGUAUGAGAUUCAGUGUUGCUGAAUGGUUGUGUGUUGUGAAGCUCACCUAUCUUCUUGCACUUCGGUGUUUCCAAGUCAGAGCUUUAUUACACAAUGCACGAUCAACUGUUCACGUAAUACGCAUUUCUCUUAUUACCCACGCUGGAGCUCUGACUCCUCAUUAAGGGAUGAUCGUGUAAGGCAAUAGUGUGCGGAGGGUGUUUACUACGGUAUAUCACCACUGUAGCUCUACGGCAUCGAUCAGCUUGCAGUGAGGAGGUUUAUUGCGCACAGUUUAACUGUGUGUAUGAUCAGGUUGUUGGUGCAUGUAAUGUGUACAGAGUGUGUAGAUAAUGAGAUCAUUCGUCUCUUGUAGAUGAAUACUCAUUACUCUAUUUCAUUCAUGAUGUGCGCACUUACUCACCACUUGCAAACAAUCCAGAGUAAGUAGGUCGGUCAUCCAUCUGA
rnacentral:rRNA from 1 species